GAUGAACGCUGGCGGUAUGCCUUACACAUGCAAGUCGAACGGUAGAGGGGCAACCCUUGAGAGUGGCGAACGGGUGAGUAAUACAUCGGAACGUGCCCAGUCGUGGGGGAUAACGUAGCGAAAGCUACGCUAAUACCGCAUACGACCUGAGGGUGAAAGCGGGGGAUCUUCGGACCUCGCGCGAUUGGAGCGACCGAUGGCAGAUUAGGUAGUUGGUGGGGUAAAGGCCUACCAAGCCUGCGAUCUGUAGCUGGUCUGAGAGGACGACCAGCCACACUGGGACUGAGACACGGCCCAGACUCCUACGGGAGGCAGCAGUGGGGAAUUUUGGACAAUGGGCGCAAGCCUGAUCCAGCCAUACCGCGUGCGGGAAGAAGGCCUUCGGGCUGUAAACCGCCUUUGUCAGGGAAGAAAUCUUCUGGGCUAAUACCUCGGGAGGAUGACGGUACCUGAAGAAUAAGCACCGGCUAACUACGUGCCAGCAGCCGCCGUAACAC
rnacentral:rRNA from 1 species